CACUGUAGUAGUUGUAGAUAUAUGACUAAGCUCUUUUUCCUGAAGUCUGAGCAGAAGUGAUGUGUACCUUCUGCCUUGAUUACUUAAGUGGGAACCUCUGGCUCUGGACAACUGUUCUUUCCCUCUCUUCAUGGGCUGAAAUGGCAAUGAUCAUGUGAUUAGAUUUUUGAACGAUGUUAACUUUAGCUUUGCCAGCGCAUAUUUUGUAUCCCUAUGAUGUGUCUAGUAUUGCCUGAAUUUGAAAGAUGAUGAACCAAGACAUCACAUUAAAUACCUUUCUUCAGGUCACACACUUCAAGCUGCUUCAGUCUUUCACUCGACAGCAGGAAUUUAAUGACAGCUGUUGCAAGGAUUAUGAUGAGAGAUUUCCUACUUGAACUGAUCGUGUGGACAAGCUAAUAGCUUUGAUGUGUCAUUGUUAGGUACAGUCUAGUGCUGGCAACAGAAAAACUAGUAUUAUUAUCAUUCAUC